GGUAAGGGAUCCAAUGUGUCAAGCACAUCCAUCAAAGGAAAGAGAGUAGGCCUCCUGCCUGGAUGCCAUCAUAGGCCUCAAUGGCUGAAAUAGCAUAUUUCCAAAAUCUCGGGAACCAUCGCCUGGGAAAACCUUUACCUUCUUCAAGUGUUUUUGCAUUCCAUCCACAUAGCGAUGUUAUAGACAAAUAGCUUGGUUUGC